AAUAGGAGAAUGAGAAAUUGAAAGAAAAAAACAAAUUACUAGAGGAGCAGCUUGAUUUAUUUCAAUCUGAGAAAGAAAGAAUAGAAGUGGAGAAGACUGGAGCAGACAAAGAAGAGCAGCAAAAAGAAAUUGAUACAAUUAUGGCAGAAAAUGAAAAAUUGCAAACAGACCUUGCUAUUGAGAGAGAACAAUUAGAAAAGAUUGCAGCAGAAAAAGAAGAGCUUCAAAAAUAUUUUGAUGCUUACGAAAAAAAAAUGAUGGAAAAAUUUGAAAAAUUGCAAGCAGACCUUGUUAACAAGAAACUAGAAACAGAUGAAAAUGAGCAGGCAGUUCAAAGUA